GAUGAACGCUGGCGGCGUGCCUAAUACAUGCAAGUCGAGCGAACAGACGAGGAGCUUGCUCCUCUGACGUUAGCGGCGGACGGGUGAGUAACACGUGGAUAACCUACCUAUAAUACUGGGAUAACUUCGGGAAACCGGAGCUAAUACCGGAUAAUAUAUUGAACCGCAUGGUUCAAUAGUGAAAGACGGUUUUGCUGUCACUUAUAGAUGGAUCCGCGUCGCAUUAGCUAGUUGGUAAGGUAACGGCUUACCAAGGCAACGAUGCGUAGCCGACCUGAGAGGGUGAUCGGCCACACUGGAACUGAGACACGGUCCAGACUCCUACGGGAGGCAGCAGUAGGGAAUCUUCCGCAAUGGGCGAAAGCCUGACGGAGCAACGCCGCGUGAGUGAAGAAGGUCUUCGGAUCGUAAAACUCUGUUAUUAGGGAAGAACAAAUGUGUAAGUAACUAUGCACGUCUUGACGGUACCUAAUCAGAAAGCCACGGCUAACUACGUG
rnacentral:rRNA from 1 species